rnacentral:rRNA from 1 species
AAGUCGUAACAAGGUUUCCGUAGGUGAACCUGCGGAAGGAUCAUUACUAUUCGGUAGUUUACUACCGUUUUGAAAGGGGUGGAAACUUCUCUGGCGUUCCCGGAGAGGAGUACACCUUUUUCCUUAACCCUUGACUUUGCGCACUCAUGUUUCCUCGGUAGGCUUGCCUGCCGAACGGACAAAUCUAUAACCUUUUUACUACUCAUUCAGCGUCUGAACAAUUAUAAUAAUUACAACUUUCAACAACGGAUCUCUUGGUUCUGGCAUCGAUGAAGAACGCAGCGAAAUGCGAUAAGUAGUGUGAAUUGCAGAAUUCAGUGAAUCAUCGAAUCUUUGAACGCACAUUGCGCCCCUUGGUAUUCCAUGGGGCAUGCCUGUUCGAGCGUCAUUUGUACUCUCAAGCCUUGCUUGGUGUUGGGUGCUUGUCUUUGCUCUGCCUAGACCCUCCCUAAAUACAUUGGCAGCCGAUAUAUUGGUUUGAAGCGCAGCACAAUUGCUAUUCAAGCUUGGUUUAUCAGCAUCCACAAAGAAUCAUAACACUUUUGACCUCGGAUCAGGUAGGGAUACCCGCUGAACUUA